CGACGACGACGACGACGACGGCUACUACGACUACGACUACGACGAUGACGAUGACGGCGGUGGAGGCGGCGAUGACGAGAUUUCUGGUAGGAGGAGCCAAGUUCACUACCGCCCCUAUCCAGUUACGCCAAUGUUUGUUAGGAAAGCGAAAACUACGUUUAUACAUUUGUAGCAUGAUGUAGUACCGUUGAAACAUUCAAUAAACAUUCUGAAUAUUUUUAUGAGGAAUAAUUUA